GGUUAUCACAGGGACUCGGCAGUGAAGUGCGAAGCAUGGCCAUCGGGGCAUCAUCCUCCCUGUCACAGGCGGGACCAAGGGGACCGGAAAGAAAUCCAAGGGGUAUUGGAGCUGCUUAUGCUUGUCCAAGCCAACAUCAAAGACAAAACAGCUGAGAGAAACUGCUGAGGCUGGCUUGAAAUCAGGUAAGAGUCAUUUGUGCAAAGAAGUCUGAGUCAUUUUACUGUUUAGUAACUUACAACAAACAAGCACCCUGCUCUGUCAUCACAGAGCCCAGUGGAAACCGGGAGCAUUUCCACUUCCAUGUCCUGGAGUGGCCCUGGGUCAGCUGCGGCUGGAGCCCUGGCUGGUUGUCAGGGAAGAAAAAAGGUGGGAGAAAGGGGAGGAGGGGGCUGGGGAAGGAAUUCAAUCCAAGAUCAGCCUCACACUGAUAUUCUGAGAAACAGGACCUUCCUCUCCUCAGAUCCAGAACCAUCACCCCAACGGCAACGUUCCACCUCUUCUUAGGCUCCUGUGCUUCCUUUGCCACACUGAGCAUUCAUGUGCUCAUUCACCGGACAGGGCAGCCCAGCUGUUCAUCCACUGCAGUUCCCAAAGGAAUAGGAGCAGUGGGUUCCUGUUCAGCUGGUGGUCUCUGUCUUUGGUGACAAGAUGUGACAAUGUGUUUUUCCCCCCCGCCAUCGCUCUAAAAGAAUCUCCUCAUCUACAUAUUCUACAAGAUAACGAGGCCCAGGAAGCCUGAGACCCAAGUGAUGGACCAUCCAGACUCCUCCAGCUCAAGCUCAUGGCUUCAAACUACCUCAUUCCAAACGGAAAGAGGCUCCGCCCAGUGCAGCAGGUGCAGGUUCGGUCCUGGCUCGGUCUCACUGCUGUUCCCCUUUCAGAGAGCCCUUGACUCCACUGAACCUCUUUUAUCUUGUCUAUGCUGGGAGAUGAUGAAAACUCACUGAGUGAAAUAACUGAAUAAAAAGUCUGGCUCA